rnacentral:rRNA from 1 species
CACCGCGGUUAUACGAGAGGCCCAAGUUGACAAAUGCCGGCGUAAAAUGUGGUUAUUACAGUAUUUCACUAAAGCCAAACAUCUUCAAAGCUGUUAUAUGCUCUCGAAGACAGGAAGUUCAUCCACGAAAGUGGCUUUAAGCUUUAUGUACCACGAAAGCUAGGGAA